AACUACUUCGGCAGUGCAAAAAAAGAGAAAUAAUGAAUUGCGGCUCUUGUAUCGGGAUAGGGUUGGAACAUAGAGAUUGCCGCCAUCAACUCUUAAGUAGCUCUGCAGUUGGCACCACAACAAUCUCUGUAGCUAGCAUCGCAGCAUCGCAGCAUCUCCAGUUGUUUGAUGUUUUGUAUUGUAUUUCUCUUCAUGUUCAUGUAGUGCUUCUGAUUGGUGUUUUUGUUUUAGCCUGGUUUUUGACUGUUAUCUAUGUUGUGCUGUGUUGUAGGAGAAUUGAUAUGAUAAAGGGUUUCGAGGAAUAUUUUGAAGGCAAAAUUAAACUCUCGGAGUCCUUGGAGCUUUUGGAGUCACCAGAGGUUAAUAUCUGAUUGAAACCUGUGAAAAAUUUGAUGCCAAAUGUCCCCCUCCUCAAACUACGACCCGAUUGCUUAAGCUCGUAGGCCACUUCAUUGAGGAGCAAUGUGUGAACCCAACUUUCAUCAUGCUUCAUCCACAAUUCAGGAGCCCUCUUGCCAAGUGGCAUCGGUCUAUUCCAGGCUUAACGGAGCAAUUUGAGUUGUUUUUGAACAAACACGAGGUGUGCAACGCUUACACUGAGUUAAACGACCCAGUGGUUCAAAGUGAGCGGUUUGCUGAUCAAGUCAAGGACCGGGAGAAUGGAGAUGACGAGGCAAUGGCCAUCUAUGAGAACUUCUGUACUGCACUUGAGUACGGAUUGCUUCCAACAACUGGAUGAGGCAUGGGGAUUGACAGAUUCGCGAUGAUGCUCACUGAUUCCCAAAACAUCAAGGAGGUCUUGUUGUUCCCGACCAUGAAGACGUGAUGGAGCCGUCGGUCCGAGCAGCAGACGAUUUGUCUUCGUAGGCUUUUUUGCGUCCGCCGUUGAAUCGACUCAACAUUUUCAUUCAUUCGUUAUCAUUAGGUCGCCGUCACUGCCGAGUGAUGAUUUGCUUAUACUGGUCAUGAACCUCAGAUCGAUGACGUCUGCUACAACACUAUUGACCUACGUCCAUCGCUUGUAAUUACCUUGGGGUCCCUGUAUCUCAGUUAUGCGAGCUUGCAAGUUGGGGAAAGAUAUUCAUGAACAAUUCGUGUAAAUCCUUGGCUCAGCUUGUUCUUCAGCUAGCGGCACUCAAAGUGCUUUUGUGAAGUAGAUUUAUUAGAUGCAAUAUAUCUUUGAUAUCUGUUUUCGGUAACAUUGAAAAUAUU